CAGGCAUGUCCCCAGAGUGGGAUGAGGUGGGAGUAGUAGGUAUGUAAGAUGUUUUUGUUUUUUUCCUGAUGUUAUCCCCAUUUUCCCAGGUCCCAGCUUCAGACAGUUGUCUGCCAUCUGCUUUGGCCAGACACCAAGACGCUAGCAAUUGGCUGGCAUUGCUGCCAUGAGCAAAGACAGAGUUGACACCUUUCACCUCUGGAGAAGGUUGGAACAACAGGCAUCUAGCUGAAAUCCCAUGUCACCAACUAGAAGCAAAAUACACCUUUCAAUCAGCCUUGUCAAAACGAUGAAGUAGCAGGAAUCUCCUUGGAGAGCAAUGUAUCACAACAGUUUUCAAGACAGUUUCCAAAUCGAAGAUGACUUCCAAGGAACAGCAAGGAUGUAAUCUUGGAGCCAAUCAAACCAGUGGCAAAAAUCCCACUUUCUGCAUGAUCUUCUUAAUGCAGCCUCUGACAUUUUGGAGCUUCAUAUAUUAUGGUUAAAAGCUCUUAUCCUAUCAGCUGAAGUGAAUCAAGGUGGGAGGAGGUGAAGCAAUUGGAACGGGCAGUUUUUAAGGCUGCGCUGAGUAUAAGGGGAGUUAAGUGGAGAUAUGCCCCAAACAGAACCAGUGGACCUGGUGUCACACCUAACAGUUGUGUGAAGCAGCGCCCUAUCCCCUGGUAUUGCCAGGAGGAGCCGUGGAAGGAGGAAAUUCAAAGAGGAGUUACAGGACAGCGACCUGAGGAGAGAAGGAAGCCAAGCAAGGUGCACUGAAGAUGGGCCAAGGCCUACAUCCUAUGGAAACUCUUGGGAUAGAUGAAAUCCCACCACUGAUUGACACCUAUCUUCUUUAUCUUCUUUAGCACUUAGCCUCUAAAACUUGGUGGAAAUUCACAAGUCUGGAAGUGGUCGUUGCAUUCUUGAGUAAGAUGCCGUCCAUUUUACAACCGGCAUUUGUCUGUAGGUUCCACAAUGGCUCUUUUAUUUAAAUGCUCACUCCUUGCCUAAGGAUUAUUGACUGGAGCCUUUCAUUCCUGACAUCACCCAGUUUCUCCAUGCUGACCAGCUGUGUGUGGAGAAGCAGACUCAGAAGAUGGCUACUCCGGGGUCAGCACUGCCAGCCAGCUGCUUAUUCUUGCAUGGGAUAUCCGCCUACUCCUUGCAAAAGCAGUGCCUGGGUGACCCAUCUGCUAAUGCAGAGGGGCGCUUCUGAGGCCGAGCAGUUGCAUGGCCUGGCAGAAAUACAUUUUGGGGAGUGCACAGCUUAUGUUCACACACAAGAAAGAACUUUACAGCACCAGGCACUUAGAUGUCCUUCACGCCUUCACCUCUCUAAGGAAUACCCUUUCUGAGCCAUCCUGUGCUAACCUGGACAUUAGAAUGGAAUGCAGACAAACAUACAUAGCAACUUGUCCCCUCUGAUUUACCCAAAGUCAUUUCAUUUCUUUGUGUUCACCUGCAUUACUUUGAUCCAAGCAUUCAUUUCUUAGGCAGAAACUUUUUAUACACAUACAAUCUUUUUUUUUUUUUCCCCUUGAUAAAAAAAAUCUAAUAUCCUUCUCCCAGCCUAUGGAUGUCUGCUGAGAGUCCAUGGGUAUGAUUCCUAUAAGGCCAUUGCUGCUUGAGUGGGAAAGAAUGCACAGCAGUAAGGUAUCCUCAGGUUUCCAAACCACCUAGAAGUUUAGUAUGGUCUCAUUCUUCCAAAACACAAGUUCUGUCAACUAGAACAACAGCAACAAAAAAAAAAACCCUACAAGUUUAUUAUCUCCCAGCAUUAAAACACAGCCAUCUUUUUAUGAUGACCACACAACACUCCUGCAGACAUGACCAAUCAUUAGUUUUGCCUGACGAUCAGACCUACUCACCUGUCAGCCUAGCUGGCUUGCUGAUGGAAAUGCUGCUUCUCUGAGGGCCCAAACAGAGGCUUCAAGUGAAAGAGAGAAUGAGAAUUUGGCACAUAACCCUGAAAAGCCCCAGUACAACACUGGGGCUUCUUGGCACAAGUCACCAGUUUCAGCACCAGAGACUGCUGUGUCUGUAAGGUCAGGCCUAUUUCCCUCACCGUGCCCUGUGAGCUCCUCUAGCAAGCUCCAUCUUAAGUAAGGAAAUUGUUUGUGCUUGUAAUCACCAGUAGUUAGCAAGCCUUUUUCUAAUUUCAGCCUAUGUCCAUCCACAGCAGGUUGUAUUACCACUUCUUGUACCAGUGCAUGCCUUUCCCUAGAGAGCUCUUCUCAACCUUCCUUAAUUUUUAGCUAUGACAUAUUUAUAGGCAGAAAUUCUGGUCGCUGCCUUUCUCUGCUAACCCCUCCCACUGUCCCCUCUGUUGGCAGGCCCUGUUGUCCUUGACCACCUUGGUAACAUUUCUGCUAUUGCUCCUGCAUCAGCUCAUCUCUUUUGUUUCUCAGUGAUGAAAGAAGUGCACAACAUUGAAGCUGAACGCUCAUCUGUGCCUGGUGCACUAUCCCUGUCUGAUUUGCUCGCUACGACUGCAUUUCCCUUUUCAUGGCUACAGCAUAGUUGUGGCUCAAAGUCACCCUGUGAUUAGAGUACAUCGAAGUCUUCUUCCUCCCCGAGCAGCUUUAAGUGCAUGGCUCAUACUGAAUGUUUUCUUAGUAACAAUACCCAGCUCUGCGGUGAUCUGCAUGAGCUAUGGGUCUGGGCCCCUUCUCCAGAAGAGUCAGACUUUGCCAGCUGACACCAGCUGCAGAACCAGUUCUCAGUAUUCAGUGCACUUGGGGAGAAAGAAACAAGUAGUAAACCAAAGACAAACAGAGCUACAGUCAAACGUAUUAUAACACUACCAACCAAGACAGCUGCUUCUGCCAACAUGGAAACAAGAUAGGAACUAGAGUGUUUCUAUUUUUGCAUUCAAAUAGAAACAGAUGGAGAGGACUUGGGGAAUUUAUCAAACCAAAUAAAUAUUUUUCAUUUUAAAAUUUGAAUGGAAUGGAAAUUAUAAUCUGCCACUGUUACCAUGGAGCUGAAUAUUGUCCUUCCCCUCAUCCGGCCUUUAGCAGUAAGGAGUUGGUUGCGGCAGGGCUGGAGUUUUGCAGUUUUCUUCCUCACCCAACCCAGCUCUCUCCUUUGAAUUACACUGCCUGGUUACCGACUGCAGAAAGAAGAGUCAGGUUUUGCAAUAUUUUUUUUAUGGAUUGCUAGCUGAAAAAUGAGAACAAAAUGAACUUCUGGAUAGCAGGCACCACUGUUUUUCACUAUUCUUACCUAAGUUAAAGCAGUGAACCUCCACUUCCAAACUGAGAGGAGCCAAAGUGCCCAACUUCAGACCUUCCUGUGUGCCAGCUCCAAGCCAGUGGGAUGACUGGGAGGCUGGAGCCACACCAAAGCUGGGGAUUUUGAGCCAGAUUGCUGCCACCACCUUCUUAUCUCAGACCAAGAGCACCUGAGGCUGCCUAAAACCUGCUAGAAACAGCCCAGUGAGGUGGAGCACUUUCUUGCAAUGACUUACAGAAUGUCACAGCCAAAUCCAAAAAGUGUUUUAAAAGUGAGGAUGCAGUACAAAUGGAACAAACUUGGUCAUUAACUCUGGAUAUUCCACUGCCUCAAGAGUAGAACCUCUCUGCUUGGUCAAAUAGGUAAUAAAAUAGAUUAACAGAUAAUCUAAGAGGCUCUCCAUUGCCUUUUUUUUUUUUAAACUGUUUCCAGUAAACAGCCCCAUGCCUGUAAAUAUUUUAGAACAGGAAAAUAUUUAGUGACCCAGGUACUGAAAGGGCUGCCAUUAACCCUGCAAUAGACUUUUGCAUCCGCAAAUGCCCCUGAAAACAAAUGGAUUAGACUAAUUGCAUUCAUUCAGAUUAGCAAACAGCCCGAUAAGCCAGGACCGUGGUCCAUAAUGGCACAAUGCCCUUGGAGACUCCUUUCCUAGGACUGUAUCAGCAGUGCUACACACUGCAGGCAUCACACAAGUGUGCUGCUGCCAUUAAACUCCUGUUCUUUAAGAGCUUAAGAGGCCGAUUCAAACAUUUUUUCCUUCCUUGAACUGUAUUUAAAUCAAGUCACUUCUCUACAUUUUUCACCUGAAUAAAGAGCAUUUUUCUGUUAUGUUAAGGUUUGUAGGUGACGUCCUUUAAUGUUACUAUUAUUGUAAUUAUUUAAAAAAACACAACAAUAAAACAGUAAGUAUGACGCUUCCUUGUACUUCUUGGUUCGAGAUGGAAUCAGAAAUCCAAAAAGCAAAGCAUCUGCAAAAGCCCUGUGGUCGGGAGAUCCCUGAACUCCUCCAAACCAGGAGCGGAUGAAGAGCUUACAAGAAAAGUUGCUCUUCAGAGGUCCUCAGUCCAGUUAGCAGCAUCCACGGCAGGAUCGGAAUACACUCAGGGCAAUGGAUGCAGAGAGGAAACAGUCAGGUACCUUUCAAACAUGCAACCAAAGAGUUUGAGGCUUGCCUGUCACUUGUCUAGACACAUGUUUCAGAAGGGAAUACAAGAAAGAAA
rnacentral:lncRNA from 1 species